CAGGGGAAAGUUAAAAAAAGUCAGAGGUCACACGUCAGAUGUGUGUGGUGGUCCUACCACAGACACUAUCAGUUAAGGUGAAGAAGGGGUUGGAUGUCCUCUUCCGUCUCAGGUGCUGGUUCCCUACUCCUUUGGGCAAGGGGAAUUUCACUGGCUCACCAUCAACCAGGAGAAUCCAGAUCCACCUCUAAGGGUUUCUGAGGGGUCUCAAAAAACCUAGCCAAGUCUCUGCCGAAAAUAAUAAACCACGGGUCCUUGACCACCUCUCUGCUGCGGGUGCAGUGGACAAUCUGACCACCCAGCAUCUGGAAUAAACACUGGAUCACGUAUGAGAGCCAACAGCAGAGAGGUGACAGGAAAUCAGAGAGAAGCAGGGUAACACACGCAAAAACAUAUCCCCGCCUCGAGUGAGGCACUGAUCCUGUUCAUGGUCAACGCCAG